UUAAGCGACUAAGCGUACACGGUGGAUGCCCUGGCAGUCAGAGGCGAUGAAGGACGUGCUAAUCUGCGAUAAGCGUCGGUAAGGUGAUAUGAACCGUUAUAACCGGCGAUUUCCGAAUGGGGAAACCCAGUGUGUUUCGACACACUAUCAUUAACUGAAUCCAUAGGUUAAUGAGGCGAACCGGGGGAACUGAAACAUCUAAGUACCCCGAGGAAAAGAAAUCAACCGAGAUUCCCCCAGUAGCGGCGAGCGAACGGGGAGCAGCCCAGAGCCUGAAUCAGUGUGUGUGUUAGUGGAAGCGUCUGGAAAGGCGUGCGAUACAGGGUGACAGCCCCGUACACAAAAAUGCACAUGCUGUGAGCUCGAUGAGUAGGGCGGGACACGUGGUAUCCUGUCUGAAUAUGGGGGGACCAUCCUCCAAGGCUAAAUACUCCUGACUGACCGAUAGUGAACCAGUACCGUGAGGGAAAGGCGAAAAGAACCCCGGCGAGGGGAGUGAAAAAGAACCUGAAACCGUGUACGUACAAGCAGUGGGAGCACGCUUAGGCGUGUGACUGCGUACCUUUUGUAUAAUGGGUCAGCGACUUAUAUUCUGUAGCAAGGUUAACCGAAUAGGGGAGCCGAAGGGAAACCGAGUCUUAACUGGGCGUUAAGUUGCAGGGUAUAGACCCGAAACCCGGUGAUCUAGCCAUGGGCAGGUUGAAGGUUGGGUAACACUAACUGGAGGACCGAACCGACUAAUGUUGAAAAAUUAGCGGAUGACUUGUGGCUGGGGGUGAAAGGCCAAUCAAACCGGGAGAUAGCUGGUUCUCCCCGAAAGCUAUUUAGGUAGCGCCUCGUGAAUUCAUCUCCGGGGGUAGAGCACUGUUUCGGCAAGGGGGUCAUCCCGACUUACCAACCCGAUGCAAACUGCGAAUACCGGAGAAUGUUAUCACGGGAGACACACGGCGGGUGCUAACGUCCGUCGUGAAGAGGGAAACAACCCAGACCGCCAGCUAAGGUCCCAAAGUCAUGGUUAAGUGGGAAACGAUGUGGGAAGGCCCAGACAGCCAGGAUGUUGGCUUAGAAGCAGCCAUCAUUUAAAGAAAGCGUAAUAGCUCACUGGUCGAGUCGGCCUGCGCGGAAGAUGUAACGGGGCUAAACCAUGCACCGAAGCUGCGGCAGCGACGCUGAUGCGUUGUUGGGUAGGGGAGCGUUCUGUAAGCCUGCGAAGGUGUGCUGUGAGGCAUGCUGGAGGUAUCAGAAGUGCGAAUGCUGACAUAAGUAACGAUAAAGCGGGUGAAAAGCCCGCUCGCUGGAAGACCAAGGGUUCCUGUCCAACGUUAAUCGGGGCAGGGUGAGUCGACCCCUAAGGCGAGGCCGAAAGGCGUAGUCGAUGGGAAACAGGUUAAUAUUCCUGUACUUGGUGUUACUGCGAAGGGGGGACGGAGAAGGCUAUGUUGGCCGGGCGACGGUUGUCCCGGUUUAAGCGUGUAGGCUGGUUUUCCAGGCAAAUCCGGAAAAUCAAGGCUGAGGCGUGAUGACGAGGCACUACGGUGCUGAAGCAACAAAUGCCCUGCUUCCAGGAAAAGCCUCUAAGCAUCAGGUAACAUCAAAUCGUACCCCAAACCGACACAGGUGGUCAGGUAGAGAAUACCAAGGCGCUUGAGAGAACUCGGGUGAAGGAACUAGGCAAAAUGGUGCCGUAACUUCGGGAGAAGGCACGCUGAUAUGUAGGUGAAGUCCCUUGCGGAUGGAGCUGAAAUCAGUCGAAGAUACCAGCUGGCUGCAACUGUUUAUUAAAAACACAGCACUGUGCAAACACGAAAGUGGACGUAUACGGUGUGACGCCUGCCCGGUGCCGGAAGGUUAAUUGAUGGGGUUAGCGCAAGCGAAGCUCUUGAUCGAAGCCCCGGUAAACGGCGGCCGUAACUAUAACGGUCCUAAGGUAGCGAAAUUCCUUGUCGGGUAAGUUCCGACCUGCACGAAUGGCGUAAUGAUGGCCAGGCUGUCUCCACCCGAGACUCAGUGAAAUUGAACUCGCUGUGAAGAUGCAGUGUACCCGCGGCAAGACGGAAAGACCCCGUGAACCUUUACUAUAGCUUGACACUGAACAUUGAGCCUUGAUGUGUAGGAUAGGUGGGAGGCUUGGAAGUGUGGACGCCAGUCUGCAUGGAGCCGACCUUGAAAUACCACCCUUUAAUGUUUGAUGUUCUAACGUUGACCCGUAAUCCGGGUUGCGGACAGUGUCUGGUGGGUAGUUUGACUGGGGCGGUCUCCUCCUAAAGAGUAACGGAGGAGCACGAAGGUUGGCUAAUCCUGGUCGGACAUCAGGAGGUUAGUGCAAUGGCAUAAGCCAGCUUGACUGCGAGCGUGACGGCGCGAGCAGGUGCGAAAGCAGGUCAUAGUGAUCCGGUGGUUCUGAAUGGAAGGGCCAUCGCUCAACGGAUAAAAGGUACUCCGGGGAUAACAGGCUGAUACCGCCCAAGAGUUCAUAUCGACGGCGGUGUUUGGCACCUCGAUGUCGGCUCAUCACAUCCUGGGGCUGAAGUAGGUCCCAAGGGUAUGGCUGUUCGCCAUUUAAAGUGGUACGCGAGCUGGGUUUAGAACGUCGUGAGACAGUUCGGUCCCUAUCUGCCGUGGGCGCUGGAGAACUGAGGGGGGCUGCUCCUAGUACGAGAGGACCGGAGUGGACGCAUCACUGGUGUUCGGGUUGUCAUGCCAAUGGCACUGCCCGGUAGCUAAAUGCGGAAGAGAUAAGUGCUGAAAGCAUCUAAGCACGAAACUUGCCCCGAGAUGAGUUCUCCCUGACCCUUUAAGGGUCCUGAAGGAACGUUGAAGACGACGACGUUGAUAGGCCGGGUGUGUAAGCGCAGCGAUGCGUUGAGCUAACCGGUACUAAUGAACCGUGAGGCUUAACCUU
rnacentral:rRNA from 1 species